UGCCAAUCCUCUAAUCGGCUUGGGGUCUACCGUGGAUGAAGAUGACUGGCUGUAACUAAGAGAAAAAUGACAGGUCGUCCGUUCCAGUUAACAGCAUCUUACUAGAGGACAAAUAUACUGCAGAGUACAUUAAUGAGAACUUUCAUAGCCUGCUUUACAAAAGAAACAUGGGUGUGUACCAGCAACUGCUCAAUGCGUGUGAUUGAAUGACAAAGACCUCCUUAGCAAAUUAAACAGCAUAAAGAUUUUCACCUUCAUCGUGUAUGGAGCCAUCAUAUUUGACAAUGAAGCAAAGCAAUGAACCAUAAAGAUUGGAACAUCAGAUGAAGGUAGAAUAUGAAAUAUUAUUGAAUUUAAAAAAUAUUAUUUCAGAAAGUUUGGAAUUUUG